rnacentral:lncRNA from 1 species
GCUGUGUCUUUUUGAGGCAGGCUAUGUUCCCUGGAGGCUUCUGAGAUAACCAGACAUUUACAAGGCUCCUACCAGGACAUCAAAAUAAUAUCUACGCCUCUCAGACUGAC